rnacentral:rRNA from 1 species
UACGUAGGUGGCAAGCGUUGUCCGGAUUCACUGGGUUUAAAGGGUGCGUAGGUGGGCAGGUAAGUCAGUGGUGAAAUCCUUGAGCUUAACUCGAGGACUGCCAUUGAUACUAUCUGUCUUGAAUGUUGUGGAGGUGAGCGGAAUAUGUCAUGUAGCGGUGAAAUGCUUAGAUAUGACAUAGAACACCAAUUGCGAAGGCAGCUCACUACACAAUCAUUGACUCUGAGGCACGAAAGCGUGGGGAUCAAACAGG